UGUCAAAGAAAGAGCCCCGACCGGUGAUACGCCGUCGCCGAGGCCCUGAAAUAAACCUCCAAGAAGGCUCAUUCUCUGCAGCAUCCUCAAGAACCAGGUGGUGCGAGUUAAGAGGAUCACAGCCGGUGAUACGCCGUCGCCGAGAUCACUCCCCCCAUCACACGAAUAGAGGUCAGGAGAGAUAGUCAAAACGGCCGGUGAGAUGCCGUUGCCGAAGACUCUUCCAUCCCAAC
rnacentral:lncRNA from 1 species